UACGGAGGGUGCGAGCGUUAUUCGGAUUUACUGGGCGUAAAGCGCGUGUAGGCGGUUGGGAUAGUUGGAUGUGAAAGCUCCCGGCUUAACUGGGAGAGGUCGUUCAAAACUUCCCAACUAGAGUUUGGUAGAGGAAAAUGGAAUUCCGGGUGUAGUGGUGAAAUGCGUAGAUAUCCGGAGGAACACCAGUGGCGAAAGCGAUUUUCUGGACCGAUACUGACGCUCAGACGCGAAAGCUAGGGUAGC
rnacentral:rRNA from 1 species